rnacentral:misc_RNA from 1 species
AACGAGGCCGACCUGCGGCUGAGUUACCUGCGGAGGGAUCAUUACUGAAUGGUCUCCACGACCUUUGACCCAUAAAGCCUGUGGCAAAAUCAUGUGCUUUGGCGCCCCUCGGGGCGCCAUGACCAUGCGUGUAUAUGCCCUUGUUGUCUGAAGUAUGGUAACAAGCAAAACUUUUAACAACGGAUCU